UAGGGAAUCUUCCGCAAUGGACGCAAGUCUGACGGAGCAACGCCGCGUGAGUGAAGAAGGAUUUCGGUUCGUAAAACUCUGUUGUUAGAGAAGAACAGCGCAUAGAGUAACUGUUAUGCGUGUGACGGUAUCUAACCAGAAAGCCGCGGCUAACUACGUGCCAGCAGCCGCGGUAAUACGUAGGUGGCAAGCGUUGUCCGGAUUUAUUGGGCGUAAAGCGAGCGCAGGCGGUCAAUUAAGUCUGAUGUGAAAGCCCCCGGCUCAACCGGGGAGGGUCAUUGGAAACUGGUUGACUUGAGUGCAGAAGAGGAGAGUGGAAUUCCAUGUGUAGCGGUGAAAUGCGUAGAUAUAUGGAGGAACACCAGUGGCGAAGGCGACUCUCUGGUCUGUAACUGACGCUGAGGUUCGAAAGCGUGGGUAGCAAACAGG
rnacentral:rRNA from 1 species